CCCUUAGAUGUUCUGGGCCGCACGCGUGCUACACUGAGUAAAUAAAUGGGUAAGGGAACACGAAAGUGCAACCUAAUCUUCAAAUUUGCUCGUGAUGGGGAUCGACGGUUGCAAUUUUCCGUCGUGAACGAGGAAUACCUUGUAGGCGCGUGUCAUCAUCACGCGCCGAAUACGUCCCUGCCCUUUGUACACACCGCCCGUCGCUCCUACCGAUUGAGUGAUCCGGUGAGGCUCUGGGACCUGGACGGAAAGAGCGUUUCGCUUGUUCUGUUUGGGAAACUUGGUCGAACCUUAUCAUUUAGAGGAAGGAGAAGUCGUAACA
rnacentral:rRNA from 1 species